rnacentral:rRNA from 1 species
UGGGGAAUAUUGGACAAUGGGCGAAAGCCUGAUCCAGCCAUGCCGCGUGUGUGAAGAAGGUCUUCGGAUUGUAAAGCACUUUAAGUUGGGAGGAAGGGCAGUAAGCGAAUACCUUGCUGUUUUGACGUUACCGACAGAAUAAGCACCGGCUAACUCUGUGCCAGCAGCCGCGGUAAUACAGAGUGUGCAAGCGUUAAUCGGAAUUACUGGGGGUAAAGCGCGCGUAGGUGGUUCGUUAAGUUGAAUGUGAAAGCCCCGGGCUCAACCUGGGAACUGCAUCCAAAACUGGCGAGCUAGAGUAGGGCAGAGGGUGGUGGAAUUUCCUGUGUAGCGGUGAAAUGCGUAGAUAUAGGAAGGAACACCAGUGGAGAAGGCGACCACCUGGGCUCAUACUGACAAUGAGGUGCGAAAGCGUGGGGAGCAAACAGG